GCCCCUUCUCCUCCUUCCCAAAAGAAAGAUUUAAAGAUUUAGGGAGAUUAGCUCUGUAAUCCUCAGGCUGGGAGUCACUUUCAGUAAAAUGUGACACCCACAUCUAGCCCUAUUGUUUUUCUAAUUCCAGAUGGGAUCCUGAAACUGGUGGGCUGGUUGGCUGCCCACUUGUCACCAGGAAGCCCCAAAAGCCCUAAAACUAUUCUCCCUCGACUCUGAACACUGCCUACAGUUAUUAAUGUCCCUAAAGAGGUCUCAAACGACCCUAGAAGACGCGAGCCCUUUAAAGUGGGGGGGGGGGGAGGCUGACAGGUGCGGGCUGGUGAGGACGGAAGGCGUCACAAAUCCUAAACAGAAACCUGAGCUGCAAGCCCGACCUCGCGGUCCCACCUGGCGCCCGCCAUCCAGCGGGCCUCGGAGACCAGAGCUGCUGGCUCCGCCCCCAAAGCUUGGGCUCCGAUUGGUCGGUGCGGUGGCAGGGCGGGACCAGCUCUUAAAGGUCCAGGAACUAAGAUUACCCGGAGGAGGCGGAGGCAGCAGCGAAACCUAGGGAGGGGAUGCCUCGUAGUCGCAAAGAUUUCUUCUAAACUGUGUAAAGCCCAUACCCUAGUGGCCCAUGGAGCCCACAACAGCCUAUCCACUUUUCGGGGGCGCCUUCUCCGCUGUCUUCCCCCGUGGGGCCAUUGAUGUAAGCGACCUCCGACCGGUCCCGGACAACCAAGAAGUUUUCUGCCACCCCAGGACCGACCAGAGCUUAAUCGUGGAACUUCUGGAGCUGCAGGCGCACGUGCAGGGAGAAGCGGCUGCGCGGUACCAUUUUGAGGACGUUGGGCGGGUGCAGGGGUCGAGGGUCCUGCAAGUGGAAUCUGUGCAGCCCCUGAAUCUGGAGAGCCUGGCCUUGAGAGGCUGCUGUCAAGAAGCCUGGGUCCUCUCUGGCAAGCAGCAGGUAGCUAAGGAAAACCAGCAGCAAAGGACGUGAUACUGCACCAAGCCUUGCUGCGAGUACCUCAGUACCAGACUGACCUUUUGGUCACCUUCAAUCAUCCCCCCCCUGACAACAGGUCAUCUCUUGGCCCUGAAGGUCUAUCACCUCCUUCCUGGAACCUGGGUGACUUUGAACAGCUGGUGACCAGCCUGACCCUUCAUGAUCCUAACAUCUUUGGUCCCCAGUAAAGAUGCUGAAGCACUGCAUGAUGCUGCUAAGGACUUAGAGAUGCAGUUCUGGGAGGGAACAAAAAGAGGGUGAAUAGCUGGGUUUCUUCUCCCCCUGCAUAAACAACAAGACAUCUCUGCAGAAAUAAACUUACUUUAUAACCAA